rnacentral:sRNA from 1 species
GCUGGGCGUGGUGGCAGGCACCUGUAAUCCCAGCUACUUGGGAGGCUGAGGUGGGAGAAUCACUUGAACCUGGGAGGCGGUGGUUGCAGUGAGCCAAGAUCGCGCCACUGCACUCCACCCCAGGCGACAGAGUGAGACCCCACCUCAA